rnacentral:rRNA from 1 species
GACGAACGCUGGCGGCGUGCCUAAUACAUGCAAGUCGAACGCAGUGGGGACGGGUGAGUAACACGUGGGUAACCUACCAUCAGAGGGGAUAACACUUGGAAACAGGUGCUAAACCGAUACUGAUUGAUGGACACGCGGUGCAUUAGCUAGUUGGUGAGGUAACGUCUCACCAAGGCCACGAUGCAUAGCCGACCUGAGAGGGUGACCGGCCACACUGGUACUGAGACACGGCCCCGACUCCUACGGGAGGCAGCAGUAGGGAAUCUUCGGCAAUGGACGAAAGUCUGACCGAGCAACGCCGCGUGAGUGAAGACGGUUUUCGGAUCGUAAACCUCUGUUGUUAGAGAAGCGGUAUCUAACCAGAAAGCCACGGCUAACUACGUGCCAGCAGCAGCGGUAAUAC